CCUACGGGCGGCAGCAGUGGGGAAUAUUGGACAAUGGGCGAAAGCCUGAUCCAGCCAUGCCGCGUGUGUGAAGAAGGCCUUCGGGUUGUAAAGCACUUUCAGUGGGGAAGAAAGCCUUGGGGCUAAUACCCUCGAGGAAGGACAUCACCCACAGAAGAAGCACCGGCUAACUCCGUGCCAGCAGCCGCGGUAAUACGGAGGGUGCGAGCGUUAAUCGGAAUUACUGGGCGUAAAGCGCGCGUAGGCGGUCUGAUAAGCCGGUUGUGAAAGCCCCGGGCUCAACCUGGGAACGGCAUCCGGAACUGUCAGGCUAGAGUGCAGGAGAGGAAGGUAGAAUUCCCGGUGUAGCGGUGAAGUGCGUAGAGAUCGGGAGGAAUACCAGUGGCGAAGGCGGCCUUCUGGACUGACACUGACGCUGAGGUGCGAAAGCGUGGGUAGCAAACAGGAGUAGAUACCCCUGUAGUC
rnacentral:rRNA from 1 species